CCUACGGGAGGCAGCAGUGGGGAAUAUUGCUCAAUGGGGGCAACCCUGAAGCAGCAACGCCGCGUGAAGGAUGAAGGUUUUCGGAUUGUAAACUCCUUUUGUUAGAGAAGAUAAUGACGGUACCUGACGAAUAAGCACCGGCUAACUCCGUUCCAGCAGCCGCGGUAAUACGGAGGGUGCAAGCGUUACUCGGAAUCACUGGGCGUAAAGGGAGCGUAGGCGGGAUAGCAAGUCAGAUGUGAAAUCCUAUGGCUUAACCAUAGAACUGCAUUUGAAACUGUUAGUCUUGAGUAUGGGAGAGGUAGGCGGAAUUCGUGGUGUAGCGGUGAAAUGCGUAGAGAUCACGAGGAAUACCGAUUGCGAAGGCGGCCUACUAGAAUGUAACUGACGUUGAUGCUCGAAAGCGUGGGGAGCAAACAGGAUUAGAUACCCGUGUAGUC
rnacentral:rRNA from 1 species